UACGGAGGGUGCGAGCGUUGUCCGGAAUCACUGGGCGUAAAGCGCGCGCAGGCGGUGCGGUGAGUCUGUCGUGAAAUCUCCCGGCUCAACUGGGAGGGUGCGGUGGAGACUGCCGGACUGGAGGCACUCAGAGGCCGGUGGAAUUCCCGGUGUAGUGGUGAAAUGCGUAGAGAUCGGGAGGAACACCAGUGGCGAAGGCGGCCGGCUGGGGGUGACCUGACGCUGAGGCGCGAAAGCGUGGGGAGCGAACCGG
rnacentral:rRNA from 1 species